rnacentral:lncRNA from 1 species
CCUAACAAUUUGCUUUUCAUUUUAACAUCUUUCUCUCUUUCCAGGCUGCUCCGUGGAAGAACUCACACAAGGGCGUGCUGCAGUGACACUGGAAACUUCUGGCAAAUAUGGAAAGGAAACAGCAAAACAAUAACAUUCUAAUCCUCUGCAAAUAUAAUCACCUAAGAGGCCACUGGAGAGAAGAGGAACAAACACAUGCAAAUAUGGCCUUGCAUAUGACUUAGCUCCUGAAAGGACACAAUUCUAAUUCACCCACUGUGAAAAAAAGGACUCCUCUAAGAAAAAAGUGUUCUCAAAAGACGAAAUAAGCUGCAACUUUCCAGCUUUGUUCUGGGACCCUCUCCAAGCAGUACAAGAGGAGGACAGUGCGGAAGUCCACCUUACAGCCUACAGAUUAGCAAUGAUGCUCCACCUGACAGCUUCUUGUUUUGUAUGGACUUCACCUUGCACAGUGUUCAGGACUGCACARUGAUUUUAGUGUGCCUGGGAUCAGUCUGCGGAAGGGACUUGGAACUCGGACCCUCCUUUUUUUGAAACACCUAAAAACUUCGGGAUUCUGGACCUCACAUGCAGCUCAGAACUGUCCAGCCUUUUUGAAGCUGUUGUCUGCCRCAAGCUGGGGAUUUAAAAAGGUAUGCUGCUAUGUAUCUGUGCAAGACAGCCAAGAAGCAUUUGUGCUAGAGAGAGAGAGAUCUGUCCCCUCAGCCGCCACGUGGGCGGCACUGGUUUCAUUGUUU